UAGUCUAUGCCCAUCACUGCGGACGCCAUUUCCGUGUUCCAGCCGUCAGGGGCUUUGUUCGCUCGGCGUCCGCUGAAAUUCGGUUGCCGUUCGCGGUUCGCCUAUUCUAACGACGUACCGAAUCGAAUGCGCGUUGUUCUCAGUUUCGUUAAAUUUUUUAAUAAUCGUAUUGCUUUUUUUACUCAAAACAUAAGUCGAAGUGUACCUGUAUGUUAAUUUAACUUUUGCGGCUGUAUUCGAAAUUCCGUCGCAAAUAUUACAGUUUUUACUGCGGUAUGAAAAAAAAAAUGCCUAUAUCAAAUUUGUUGUGCACACGGCAAGAUGGCCGCCAACGUCGAAUGGUUUUCGACUGCACCUUCGUUUCGUGUGAUGGGUAUUGAUUGGAAGUACGGAUAUAAGAUUAAAGAUUAAUGUCAUGGAAGUGUUUAAAGAUGAUCGUUCGUUUCGCAGUACAAAGGAAUGCUGGCCGACAACUGAUUGUGCCAACAACAAAUACAACGCCGUGUAUCAUUUGUAUUUGUGAGGUACCUAGAUUAACUCACAAUAAAGCGUUCAUAUUGAGUCGUCUGGUCGUCAAAGAGCGUUGAAGAUCAAGAAGUGCUGGAACUCUUCAAUUGUUCUUCGGUGUGAUGCUGGAAAGAUCAGUCCCGCCUUUGACAAUCGUACCGAUGCUGCGCCAGUGUUAAGUCUGUGGCCUUUGAAGACUUAAAACACAAAGGUUGAAGAUGGUAUAUGGAUGUUUUUAAUUAAAAGAAUACUUUCGAUAGCAAAAAUAUGAUUAGGUACGUGGAGCAAUACACAGCCAAGACACUUCUGUUUUAGUGGCGCGAAGCGGCUGGUAUUUACGAAAAAUUGCCAUCCGGGUGGAAUGGAAGCAGUCAUUGGCAUCCCCGCAUUGGUGACCUUUUUCCAGUUGUGCAACCGCUAAUCCUCGAGUCCGGGUCGUUGGUGAAUUGCCAAGCUAUCCACUGUUAAUCGCGGAACAUUGUCGGAUACAUAAUUUAUACAAUAUUUAAUGUGUUUAUUUGCGUGUUUUCACAAUCUCUGGUUGUACAAAGUAUACGAUUUCUUAGCAGUUAUAUGAAUAAAUUGAAUUUUAUGAUUCA